CUAAACCCUCUCUCUCUCUCUCUCUUUGAGUCUCUCGUCGAUCACUCCAGCUCGGAGAACAUCAUCGUCCGAUCGCCACGAGGUGUCUGUUUGUCCAUGGAGUCUGAAUCUCUCUUCGAUCGCUCCAGCUCGGAGAACAUCAUCGUCCGAUCGCCACAAGGUUACAAAAUCAUAGUAGAGCUUUCUGUCCUUUAAGGACUAAGGUAGGAGGAGAUCUAGUUUGAUGGAGAUUGGAGUUCGAUGGUCAUGGUGGAUGUGAAGACUACCCCACAGGUUUCCUUGAAAGUUUUCCACUCUUGGACAACCGAGAAAACCUGGUCUAGUUGGAUGCUUCAUCCAUGUUUUAAUGGAGUCUUCUCUUCUUCUCCAACACAACUUCCUACUCAAGCUCUCAACCAUUUCGGAUCUUUUAGAUCCCGACAGCGAGCUCUAAUACACGGCAACUGGUGAACCCAAUUCCGUAGUUUUGAGCCAGGUGAAGAGUAUGCUUAGGAUUGGGAUGUACUUGGGUUUAUUUUAUGUAGUUGGCUUUUUUUUUUAGUAACUGAACAUUGAGGUUGUAUACCUCGUAGUUGUUAUCUGUUGAGGGAGAUUUGUAUUCUGUCUGUAUUUUGGUUUUAAACCGUUAAAUGUGUCAUUUUGUGUAUCUGUAGAGCUGUUAAAGCUCAUACUUCGAUUAUGUUUGUUCACAGUUAUUUUGUUUGUAUU